UACGUAGGGUGCAAGCGUUAAUCGGAAUUACUGGGCGUAAAGCGUGCGUAGACGGUAGCGUAAGUCGGGUGUGAAAGCCCCGGGCUCAACCUGGGAAUUGCAUUCGAGACUGCUCUGCUAGGGUGCGGAAGAGGGGAGCGGAAUUUCCGGUGUAGCGGUGAAAUGCGUAGAUAUCGGAAGGAACACCAGUGGCGAAAGCGGCUCCCUGGUCCAGCACCGACGUUCAGGCACGAAAGCGUGGGGAGCAAACAGG
rnacentral:rRNA from 1 species